CCGGUUUCAGGUGGUGUUUUAGA
rnacentral:miRNA from 1 species